ACAUGCAAGUCGAACGGCUCUUCGGAGCAGUGGCGGACGGGUGAGUAACGCGUGGGAACGUGCCCUUUGGUUCGGAACAACACAGGGAAACUUGUGCUAAUACCGGAUGAGCCCUUCGGGGGAAAGAUUUAUCGCCAUUGGAGCGGCCCGCGUUGGAUUAGGUAGUUGGUGGGGUAAAGGCCCACCAAGCCGACGAUCCAUAGCUGGUCUGAGAGGAUGAUCAGCCACACUGGGACUGAGACACGGCCCAGACUCCUACGGGAGGCAGCAGUGGGGAAUCUUGCGCAAUGGGCGAAAGCCUGACGCAGCCAUGCCGCGUGAAUGAUGAAGGUCUUAGGAUUGUAAAAUUCUUUCACCGGGGAAGAUAAUGACGGUACCCGGAGAAGAAGCCCCGGCUAGCUUCGUGCCAGCAGCCGCGGUAAUACGAAGGGGGCUAGCGUUGCUCGGAAUUACUGGGCGUAAAGGGCGCGUAGGCGGACAGUUUAGUCAGAGGUAAAAGCCCAGGGCUCAACCUUGGAACUGCCUUUGAUACUGGCUGUCUUGAGUUCGGGAGAGGUGAGUGGAAUGCCGAGUGUAGAGGUGAAAUUCGUAGAUAUUCGGCGGAACACCAGUGGCGAAGGCGACUCACUGGCCCGAUACUGACGCUGA
rnacentral:rRNA from 1 species